AAGGGCACCACAAGAACGCGUGGAGCAUGUGGCUUAAUUUGACUCAACCCGGGAAAUCUUACCAGGUCCAGACAUAUUGAGGAUUGACAGGCGAUAAUCAACAUACAAUUUCUUUGUUGUUGGUAUAAAAAUGAUAGUCCUUUCAUGAUUAUAUGAUAGGUGGUGCAUGGCCGUUCUUAGUUCGUGGAGUGAUUUGUCUGCUUAAUUGCGUUUCAGUAAAUAAAAUAUAUAUAAUGUAUUAAUAUUUUAGUUCUGCCAUUUUUAAUGGAUUUUAAGUGAACAAUAUUAUACAUAUAUAUUAAUAUAUGAAUGCAACGAACGUGACCGUAACCUUUUAUUGCUAUUAUUAAUAUAUUAUAGCAUAAAAUUAAAGGAACCGCUGUCAUUAUUAUAUGUGUUAAAAUAGAGUAAGAAUACGGCAAUAACAGGUCUGUGAUGCCCUCAGAUGUUCUGGGCUGCACACGUGCUACAAUAAUUACAUUAAUAAGUAUAUAUAAUAAAUAUUUAUAUACAUUUAAUGUAUAAUAAUAUUGUAAAACCUAUUUCGAAAGUAAAUCGGUAAUCAUUUAAAAAUCGUAAUAAAUAAUAAUAUAUAUACAUAAUUGUAUAUUUAAUUAAUUUAAGGUGGGGAUAGUGUAUUGUUAAUUAUUACACUUGGCCUUAACUAGGAAUGCCUUGUACUCUUCUUUGGUUUAACAUACCAAGAGGAAUACGUCCCUGCCCUUUGUACACACCGCCCGUCGCUCUUACCGAUGAAUUAUAUUAUAAAUCUAAGGGACUUAUAAUAUUUAUUUUAGGAAACUUAUAUACAUAAUGUGAUUUAAAGGAAAGAGAAGUCGUAACAAGGCAUCAGUAGGUGAACCU
rnacentral:rRNA from 1 species